CAAAAUUGGAGAAAAUGGGCUAAAUGGUAAGUAUUCAAAGUUCGGGGACUAAAGUGCAAAUAUUCAAAAGUUGUGUCGAACCUCAGAUGAAGAUCCGAUAGCGUUAGGAGUCAAUUGGAUGAAUAAAGAUGUCAAAGGGAUUAAAUUUAGGCAAAAUAUGAUCACAAAUCAAUUUCAAACCGAAAAGUUAUGCUCCGAAAUUUCAGCCUCACAUUGAGAUCCAUUUUUGACGUAGCGAAUGAUCGAAUUGGAGAAUAAUGUCUGAAGUAAGUUUAUAUCCCUUUGGGUAGAUUUCCAAUGCAUCUUCAAUCGUCUUAAUUGGACAUCGAGAGAGAACGUUAUAAUAAAAAUACUAAAAGAGGUGUUGUCUGUCUGAAAUGUGGCUUCGUGGCUCUACUUCAAGGCGCUGCGGCGUCGGGAGAAUCAGAGAGGUGGCCCUGCAGUGCCACCCUCUAUAUGUGAUGUGAUGCUGCGACACCGUAUUCUAGGUGCCACUACGCUGCCAAUCCGUAACCUGAGCAUAAUUUCGGCCUAAUUGGAGUUCAAAUGAAAACCCUACCUUCUACACACGGUAAAGGGGAUAGAAAAAGCAAUUUUUCAGAGACUUGAGGGAAAUUUCACACAUUGAGAGGCACGAGACACACUUGGAAAUUAAAGAGAAGAAUUCAAGAAGAAAAACAACAAGCAAUUCAAG
rnacentral:lncRNA from 1 species